rnacentral:lncRNA from 10 species
CUGAGAGGUGUUUUCCAGAAGCUGAAGGUUGAUGCUGAACUGCUGAAGCUGGAGGAGCCAGAUGACAAAGAGCAUGGUGAGGAGGAGUAUCAGGCUAUGACACACGUUAUUUUGGAAAAACUUUUCAUAUGAUUAUUUAUUUUUCUAAUCCACCAUUUUUGGAAUGAGCUGAGAUUAGCCCAACUAAUAUUAACAUCAGUUCUAGGCUUGAAUCCAAACAGACUUUUCAAGAUCUCUAAAUUCCUUCAGAGAUGCUUAGAGGGAUAGAAUGCAGCUGAAUCACAGUCUCCCAACCAGAUCUUCCUUACCCGUGAGAACUACGGUCAAAGGAGGACUUAUCCAAGGAACUGCAAAGACUUUUUGAUCCAGACAUCAGUUUAUCUAGGCACUCACCACUGAUGGUCCAAGUCCAUCCACUUGGUCCUGAGAAAACCUUCUCAAAGUGCCUGGGAGAAAAUCCAUGGUUUCACUGAGACACCAAUGAGCUGAAUAAUCUGGAGAUGGUGCUGGCAAAAGUCAGUAGAGACAGAGAGAGCUCAAAGCUCCCAGGAGCAUCCUGAUUCUGGCAGAAGCAGGAGCAGAGAGUUUAGAAUCAUGAGAUCAUCAUAAACCCCCUUCUUGGAAGAUCUCAGGACCUCAGACCACAGAAAUUACCCUCCACUUCAGUUUUGCCAUCCAUCAUACUAAGGCAGAAACACAUCUCACCUUCCUGCUACUCAAGAAUUGGCAAAUAAAGGCAAAAUCUCGCCCCUCUCUGAGAUUCUCAAAGAACAGUGUUUGACUCUGUUCAGUGGGGUUUUCCAGGGCCAAAAAUGCCUGUGGGAUUGAUUUUGGAGUCCCAGCAACCCUCAUCUCUUAGUCCUUAUAUUGCAUGCAGGUCCACAGGAAGAGAGGGUUGGCACUCAAAGGAUCACAGUUUCUAUCCCACGUCAUCACUCUUACUGACCACUCUGGCUCUGGGGAUGCUGCAUCUCUCUGAAAUCCACCCAGUUGCGGGAAAUACUGAGAGUUUAGGCCUACUUCCCAUUAUCUGAAUAAAAUAGAUAACAUCGUUUUUUCUUUUCCAAGAAAAUGGAAAUCAAGCCCACUGUUUUGUGUUAUCAGUUUAACCGCUGAGUUGAGGUGUCACCAGCAAGUACUGAGCUUUAACUGUUUCCAAAUGGGGCUUCUGAGAGGCACUGAGUUGGCAUCUACCAAGGACUUGGUCUACACAUAGAGGGAAGACAGAGACCAGGAAACACUCAUCUUUCUGCAAUUCAACUCUGGGCUCCAUCUUGAAGGAAAUGAAUGCAUGAAGAACAUUCUUAACCUAGUAUGUCUACGGCCAUACCACCCUAGGCGUGCCCAAUCUCGUCUGAACCCAGUACGUGACAUGCCCUAUGCUGAUGCUUUCAUAUGCGUUACCUUAUUUAAUCCUCAUGACUUCCACAUUAAUAAUAAUUACCUAUGAUGUGAGAGGGUCAUUAUACCAAUUUUAUGAAGAAAAUAUGGCUCAAAGAAAUAAUUUUUAAGUAGCAACACCAACAUUUGGAAUCUUCUUGAAACUUCUAACUCCUAGAAGACCACCAUGCUGUAUUUUUGGUCUACAAAUUUAAAUGGAAUAGUAUCUAAUGUUGGGGAAAACGGGAGGAAUGAAGGGUGACUGCUAAAGAGUACAGGAUUUCUUUUAGUGGUGAUGAAAAUGUUCUAAAAUUGACAGUGAUGACCAUUGCUCAACUCCAUGAGGACUCUAAAAUUCAUUGAAUUGUAUAUUUUAAAUGGGUGAAUUGUAUGGCAUGUGAGUUAUAACCACACAGAGCUGUUACAAAUAAGUAAUAUUUAAUGGAGGCCUCUUCCCACCCUACUCUACAACAGUCACAAAAACCUCUCAAUUUUCCCAUAUAUCCUGAAGUAGAAGGGCUUGCCUUUUAUCUCUUUGUAAUUUUAUGUAGUGGACAAUAAACAAAUGGCUGAUUGUAAUGAUGAAAAAGAUCCAAAUUUCUCCAGUAAAGUUGGGGGAGAAAUGCCCAGUUACAAGCAGCUGAAUGGAGGUCAGAGAGAACCAUAAUCCCAGAUAAAAAAUAAGCAGGCAAAAUUUUCUGUAGCACAAUCCCUCUCUCAUUUCAAGAAUCUGCCCACACGCUCCUCACACCUCCUCCUCUCCUGUCACUACCACCAUGAUCUUGUGGUUACACAAUUUCAUUCAGAGUCAAAAUUAGAAAUUAACUAAAGAAGCUAUGGUAUGGUAUUUUAUUCUAAGAUGUCAUCUCUUUUCAAAUGAAUCAUCAAUUUAAUAACAGUUUUCCAAGUGUUAAAAAUGUGGGGUAAAAAUGCAUUUUAGAAUCAAAGAAAUGUACUAAUCCCUAUGAAGAUGGUAAUCCAAUUAAAGUGUAAUUUCUCCAUAUUUGAAGACAUUUUCAGUGCAUGAAAAUGCUUUUUAGAAUCAGAGGGCUAAUGAAUGUUUAAUGAUGUAAAUCUAUGCCUGACACAAUAGAAGAACGACUGGUGUUUAUUGUUUAGGAUGGAGGGGGCCGCUUCCCAGAAUCUAUCGAAUGCCCAAAGCCUGUGCCCUCCCCAUUCAUUUUUCUGGGCUGAACCCUCACUCUCAUUUUCAAGGUUAACAGGGGAAGUAGA